rnacentral:rRNA from 1 species
AACGAACGCUGGCGGCAUGCCUAACACAUGCAAGUCGAACGAGACCUUCGGGUCUAGUGGCGCACGGGUGCGUAACGCGUGGGAACCUGCCCUUAGGUUCGGAAUAACUCCCCGAAAGGGGUGCUAAUACCGGAUAAUGUCUUCGGACCAAAGAUUUAUCGCCUUUGGAUGGGCCCGCGUUGGAUUAGCUAGUUGGUAGGGUAAAAGCCUACCAAGGCGACGAUCCAUAGCUGGUCUGAGAGGAUGAUCAGCCACACUGGGACUGAGACACGGCCCAGACUCCUACGGGAGGCCGGAGUUGGGAAUAUUGGACAAUGGGGGAAAGCCUUAACCAGCAAUGCCGGGUGAAUGAUGAAGGCCUUUGGGUUGUAAAGCUCUUUUACCCGGGAUGAUAAUGACAGUACCGGGAGAAUAAGCUCCGGCUAACUCCGUG